rnacentral:rRNA from 1 species
AUUGAACGCUGGCGACAUGCCUUACACAUGCAAGUCGAACGGUAACAGGUCUUCGGAUGCUGACGAGUGGCGAACGGGUGAGUAAUACAUCGGAACGUGCCCGAGAGUGGGGGAUAACGAAGCGAAAGCUUUGCUAAUACCGCAUACGAUCUCAGGAUGAAAGCAGGGGACCGCAAGGCCUUGCGCUCACGGAGCGGCCGAUGGCAGAUUAGGUAGUUGGUGGGAUAAAAGCUUACCAAGCCGACGAUCUGUAGCUGGUCUGAGAGGACGACCAGCCACACUGGGACUGAGACACGGCCCAGACUCCUACGGGAGGCAGCAGUGGGGAAUUUUGGACAAUGGGCGCAAGCCUGAUCCAGCCAUGCCGCGUGCAGGAUGAAGGCCUUCGGGUUGUAAACUGCUUUUGUACGGAACGAAAAGACUCUGGUUAAUACCUGGGGUCCAUGACGGUACCGUAAGAAUAAGCACCGGCUAACUACGUGCCAGCAGCCGCAGUAAUAC